UGGGAACCUGCCCUUUAGUGGGGGACAACCGCUGGAAACGGCGGCUAAUACCGCAUGUGCCCUUCGGGGCAAAGGCCGCAAGGCCGCUGGAGGAGGGGCCCGCGUCCGAUUAGCUUGUUGGUGGGUAACGGCCUACCAAGGCAGCGAUCGGUAGCUGGUCUGAGAGGAUGAUCACGCCACACGUGGGACUGCGACGACCGGCCCAGACCUCCGUACGGGACGGCACGCGAGGUAG
rnacentral:rRNA from 1 species